rnacentral:rRNA from 1 species
ACUCCUACGGGAGGCAGCAGUGGGGAAUUUUCCGCAAUGGGCGAAAGCCUGACGGAGCAACGCCGCGUGAGGGAUGAAGGCCUCUGGGCUGUAAACCUCUUUUCUCAAGGAAGAAGACAUGACGGUACUUGAGGAAUAAGCCACGGCUAAUUCCGUGCCAGCAGCCGCGGUAAUACGGGAGUGGCAAGCGUUAUCCGGAAUUAUUGGGCGUAAAGCGUCCGCAGGCGGCCUUUUAAGUCUGUUGUUAAAGCGUGGAGCUCAACUCCAUUUCGGCAAUGGAAACUGGAAGGCUGGAGUGUGGUAGGGGCAGAGGGAAUUCCCGGUGUAGCGGUGAAAUGCGUAGAUAUCGUGAAGAACACCAGUGGCGAAGGCGCUCUGCUGGGCCAUAACUGACGCUCAUGGACGAAAGCCAGGGGAGCGAAAGGGAUUAGAAACCCUGGUAGUCC